rnacentral:rRNA from 1 species
ACCCAAUAGAUACCCGGGUAGUCCACGCCGUAAACGAUGGAUGCUAGCUGUGUGGAGUAUCGACCCUCUGCGUAGCAAAAAGCUAACGCGUUAAGCAUCCCACCUGUGGAGUACGAGCGCAAGCUUAAAACAUAAAGGAAUUGACGGGGACCCGCACAAGCGGUGGAGCGUGUUGUUUAAUUCGAUGAUAAGCGAAGAACCUUACCCAGGUUUGACAUCCUGCUAAUCUUUCCGAAAGGAGAGAGUGCCUUCGGGCCGCAGUGACAGGUGCUGCAUGGCCGUCGAAAGCUCGUGUCGUGAGAUGUUUGGUUUAGUCCAUCAACGAGCGCAACCCCUGUAGUUAGUUGGAUUUUUCUAGCUAGACUGCCUCGGUAACGGGGAGGAAGGAGGGGAAGACGUCAGGUCAGUAUUGCCCUUACACCUGGGGCGUACAAACACGCUACAAUGGCCGGUACAAGGGCUGCAACCGCAAGGGGAGCAAAUCCCAUCAAAGCCGGUCUCAGUUCGGAUUGCAGGCUGAAACUCGCCUGCAUGAAGCU